rnacentral:RNase_P_RNA from 1 species
AAAGCAGGAAAAACGGUCGCGUCUUAUGACUUAGUUGUAGGAUGAGGAAAGUCCGGGCUCCGUAGAGCCGGGGCGCCCCGUAACACGGGGGCGGAGUAAUCCGACGGAAAGUGUCACAGAGAACGACUGCCUACCUGUCCCAUGGGGACGGCGGCGAUGGUGAAAACGCGGUGUAAGAGACCACGGGCUUUCCCGGAGACGGGAAGGUCGGACAAACCCCGCCCGGAGCAAGGCCAAAUAGGGAAGGAUGAGGUUGGCUCGCCUCGUUUGACUUCCGGGUAGGCCGCAGGAGGGCAUGGGCAACCAUGCUCCCAGAGAAAUGACCGUUCGCCCGCAAGGGCCGACAGAACCCGGCUUAUUUCCUGCUUUCUCC